rnacentral:rRNA from 1 species
UACGUAGGGGGCGAGCGUUGUCCGGAUUUACUGGGCGUAAAGAGCGCGUAGGCGGUCUGUUAAGUGUAGAGUGAAAUCUCCAGGGCUCAACCCGGAAACUGCUCUGCAUACCGGCAGACUGGAGGGACUGAGAGGUGAAUGGAAUUCCUGGUGUAGCGGUGAAAUGCGUAGAUAUCAGGAGGAACACCCAUGGCGAAGGCAGUUCACUGGCAGUCUCCUGACGCUGAGGCGCGAAAGCGUGGGUAGCAAACAGG